CCACUUGAUAUUGUCCCAUAGGUGGGUAGGGUACUGUUCUUUUAAAAAUUUCAUCCUUUAUCUCUAUUUUCUUUUGAUGGGAUAAUUUAUAUUACUCUCUUCAUUUUUACUGACCCAUUCUUUUGUAAUCUUAAAUUUAUUGUUAAGUGUAUCCGUUGAACUUAGUGUAAAGCUAAAAUAGUUGAUAAAGCAGAUAAGGGGAACAUGGAAAAAUUUUCAAGGUAGAGCUGACUUUUCAAAGAACUUCAUGGUUUCAGGAGCACGUGCACUACAGUGCCAUGUUUGGAAAACUUAGUUUUCACUAUCGAACAAUAUUGACAUAUUUCUCAAAAAUCAAUUGAUCAUAUACUGGAUUUAUAAUUAUAUUCCAUCGAUCUAUAUAUUUAACAUUGUAAGAAAUCUGUCUUUAUUAUUAUAGCUUUGCACUAAGUCUUGAAAUCAGAAAUUGUGAGUCCUCCAAAUUUUUUCUUUGUCAAAUUUAAGGUAUAAGUCAAUAUAUGAUGUGUCCACUUAACACUAAGUUUAAUAUUAUCUUAUAAUGCAAUAUUGCCUUGUGCAUGGUGCUAACAUAAUAUUUAUAGGAUUCCAUUUUAAUUUAUGUUUAUUCCAAGACCACCUAUCAGAUAGUGAAUAUCUUCUGUUUAAUUGAUACGAAUGAAUGUCUUCAAAUGUAACUACCAACAAAUUUCACUAGAAUAUUUUCCUAUUCCUGCUCAA
rnacentral:lncRNA from 1 species